AUCGAUAAUUGUGCAGUAUAAACAGUCAUGAAUAAAUAAGUUGAAGAAGCGCACUUUGAAAAAAAAAAACGCUAUGGAUUUCGAGUUCUUGAUUAGCUUAAAUGUUAUAAAUAUGGUUUACCAACUUUCGUUGCCAUUAAGUCGGGAGCGGUACGAUUGAUCGCAAACUAAAAUCUCUUAUAACAAAAUCUCGCAUUUUUGCAAAAAUCACGCAAAGCAAAAUUUCGCAUUUUUAACAUCUCACAUAGCAAAAUCUCGCAUUUUCAAAAUCCUGCAUAUUAAAAUCUCGCAUUUUAGAAAUAAUCUCGCAAGUUCAUUAAAUUCUUUCUAUAUCAAAAUCUCUCAUUAAAAGAAGAGCGUAAAGUAUCUUAAAUUUAAAUUGCUUUUUUGGCAGCAAAAUGUAUAAGCAAAAGAUUAUAAGAAAAGAGAAGGUCGAAUACAACAAAUUCACAUGCAUUAAGUCCUUUUGACUCCAACAUUCAACAGUUGACCCUGAACACUAUUAAAAAACUGGCAUAGGCGUCUGACAGUGCACUAACCUUUUCCUUUUCUAUUUAUCUCUUCAAAACAAAACGAAAAAACAGAAGAGGGAGGUUCUGGGCUUUCCUAAGCUAGCAAUAUCAUGUAGAUUAUAAAUUUCGAGAUUUUAAUGUUGCGAGAUUUUGGUAAACGAGAUUUUGAAAUUGCGAGAUUUCGAUAAAAAAGAUUUCAUAAUGCGAGAUUUUAAGAUGCGAGGUUUUAAGAACAAGAUUUUAAAAUGCGGUCAAUCGUACGCAACCCCAUUAAGUCGGUAUUUCAAAGAGUGAAUUUAGACUUGGUCCAAGCAAUGGAGCUCGCUAAAGAUUUAAGGGAUCAACUAAAAAUUAAACGGGCAGAAGACGACUCAUUUUCGAAAGUUUUUUGUAUAUGGGAAAAAUUAGCUGAAAUCCUUGACAUAGGCGUUAAACAUAAGAGAAUAGUGAAGCGACAAAAGAAUCGUUCGAACCCUUCGGUUCAAAGUACAGUAAAGAAUAUUUUCGUGUUACUGUUUUCAAUCUUUUUCUCGAUUUCUAUGUAAUGCGCCUUGGAGAAAAAUGUACAAACCAUGAAAACACACUAGAAGGGUUUCCGGUUCUUUCUAAGGAUUCUUCGUCUGAAAUAGACAAAGCAGCUUAAAAAAUUUAAUGAAACUGUUGAGUUUUACCAAAAACUAGACCACAUAAAAUAGAACAAAAACAAUAAGAUUUCCUUAUAGUUUUCAUCCAAGAAGGAAAUAUUAUUUAAACAAUCGGGAUUUCCUAACUGUUUUACCGACUUCCAAAAAGGAGGAGUUAUUCAAUUCGUCUGUACUUUUUUUUGUGUUUUUCACCUCAUAACUUUGGACCGAGUGAACCAGUUUUGAUAAUUCUUUUUGUAGGUAUUGAAAAGCUGGUGCCUGUUCAGUACUAUUAGAAAACCCAUAAAACCCAGUUUUGACAAUGGAAGUCGGUUUUGUUUUUUUAAUAAAAAAAAUACGAUCAUGUACGGGAUCACCUAUUCCAACUUACUAUAGAAAUAUUGGUCACAAUUUUUGUUCUAGUGCCAAGUUGGAAAAAAUAUGAAAUUUUUACAAAAAAUUUUGAAAGAAAAAUACUUCCUCUAUGAACUCAUUGAAAGCGCUCGAAAGCUGCACCGAAAAAAGUUGUCCUGGUAUUUAUAUUUUAUUAAAGAUAUUAGCUACACUGCUGGUUUCUACGUCAACUACCGAAAGAACUUUCUCCAAUUUAAAGAGAAUAAAAACAAUACAAAGAAGCAUUAUUAAAACUUAAAAAAAAAUUUGCGAACUAGAUCUAUCCCCCCCCUUAGCAAAAAGCUAUCUACGCCACUGACC